rnacentral:rRNA from 1 species
UACGUAGGGUGCGAGCGUUAAUCGGAAUUACUGGGCGUAAAGCGUGCGUAGGUGGUUCGUUGUGUCUGUGGUGAAAGCCCCGGGCUUAACCUGGGAAUGGCCAUGGAAACUGGCGAGCUGGAGCCUGGCAGAGGGGGGUGGAAUUCCGCGUGUAGCAGUGAAAUGCGUAGAGAUGCGGAGGAACACCGAUGGCGAAGGCAGCCCCCUGGGCUAAGACUGACGCUGAGGCACGAAAGCGUGGGGAGCAAACAGG